UACACAGUUUGUCACGCAAGCAGCGAGAUUUAUUGUUUCCUUGUAGUUAAUAGUACAUACUUGUCUGACAUUAAAAGAUAAGCAUUUGAAUAAAGACAGGACAGGAACAUCCUGAGGUCGAGCGGGGUCAUACAUCCUGUAGAAGGGAGGCCUCUCAAAAGCAUGUUACAGAAUACAUCUGCCAAGGUCAGCAUAAUUAUUUCAAA